rnacentral:rRNA from 1 species
UGGGGAAUUUUGGACAAUGGGCGAAAGCCUGAUCCAGCAAUGCCGCGUGUGUGAAGAAGGCCUUCGGGUUGUAAAGCACUUUUGUCCGGAAAGAAAUCCUUGGCUCUAAUACAGUCGGGGGAUGACGGUACCGGAAGAAUAAGCACCGGCUAACUACGUGCCAGCAGCCGCGGUAAUACGUAGGGUGCAAGCGUUAAUCGGAAUUACUGGGCGUAAAGCGUGCGCAGGCGGUUUGCUAAGACCGAUGUGAAAUCCCCGGGCUCAACCUGGGAACUGCAUUGGUGACUGGCAGGCUAGAGUAUGGCAGAGGGGGGUAGAAUUCCACGUGUAGCAGUGAAAUGCGUAGAGAUGUGGAGGAAUACCGAUGGCGAAGGCAGCCCCCCGGGCCAAUACUGACGCUCAUGCACGAAAGCGUGGGGAGCAAACAGGAUUAGAUACCCUGGUAGUCCACGCCCUAAACGAUGUCAACUAGUUGUUGGGGAUUCAUUUCCUUAGUAACGUAGCUAACGCGUGAAGUUGACCGCCUGGGGAGUACGGUCGCAAGAUUAAAACUUAAAGGAAUUGACGGGGUCAUA